UGCCAAACCGCCACUCUGCCCUGGGGAGUGGAAACCGCGUCAGCAGAGGAGGAAAUGACAGCUUUGUGGAGCAGCCUGGCCUGAGUGACAAAACCGGGUCUGUCUGGUCCCGGCUCUGGCCAUGAGUCACUGGCUAUUUUUACUUCUAAGGCUGGAGCUUCAGCUUAAUCGGGGGCUCCUGUUUCCUGGCUGAUGAAGCAGAUGGAAGGAACAUGAUCUGGCCACACAGAGGCCUCUGCAAAAUGCAGGGUGCCUGGGGCGCUGGGGGGACGCUGACGGCGAGCCCAGCGCGGCCAGGCGGACACCAGCUCCGUGUUCUGGGGCCUCACAGGCACCGUGUGGCCUUCGUCUUCAUCUUCCUGUUGGUUUCUUGUGCUGAUCUCUCAGCAGCGUGGGGAAGUGUGCAACCAGAGCUCUCUUUUCCAGUGCGAGAUCAACCACUGAUUAAUUUUCCAUCAACAUCUGCAUGAUAUUGGAGAUACCCACCAGAGGACACUUGGAGCCUCCCCCACGUGGCAGUGGGUACCAGCCCAGGUCCACUGAGCCCCACUGGCUUCUUGGCACUCCUCAGGUGUCCUGGGGAGUUUUCCUAUCCACACACCAUUGCUUUAAGUGAAGAGCCCUCCAAUUUCAUUCUAGCUGUUUUAUCUUAAGACUUAGCGUCUGCAGGGGCACAGGUAUACGUCCUAGGCAGGGGCUUAGAGGGAUUUGGGCGGGAAGCCCAGAGAAAUAUAGGUGGCUGGGCUUUUGUUAAAUCUGGCUCAAAUUGAAAAAAAAAAGUUGAUAUAUGGUCUGAACAAAAUUUUUGCUAGCAAAAUUAAAGACUGAAUUAAUUCAGCUCUGAAGAACAAGGGACACGUGCUCCUUCCAGGCACAAGGUGUGCGCAGGUGACUGAGAACCUAGUGGAAGUGUCUGAGGCUCAAUCCUUGUGAUGUGGAGCGGUCCUACAGGUGAACCCCACUACAGCCAUCAAGUAAGUACAGCUCUUCCGGGGCCACGUGAUAUAAAGACCGAUCAUCUUGUGCUCCGAGCGCCCACAGCUGUUUUAGACCAUUGGAGGAAGAAACUGAGACACAUAAAAGAGUCGAACUUGGGGAGUGGGACUCAGACGCAGCACACAUCUGACCCACUACAUUGUCCUCAGAAAGUGGUUCCAAUCAUGUUUCAUAUCUGAAUCAGGCUACCAAAUUGACAAUGGGAAAUUGUGCCUCAAAGGCCAAACAGCUUCUGGACACACGGACACCUAUGGGAAUACCGGCUGGGCUUAUGUAUGCUUGCAAGCAGUUAAUUGGGAAUUAAAGGAAAUCCCACCCAGAAAUGGCCAAGCUGGGGUGUCAGUCUCCUGGAUCCCUGCCUGCAGGGUCUCCUGAAAACUAGAAUGGCAUUUAUUUCAGUUGACAUAUGUAUGCUGUAGAUAUGUGGUAUUGCCAAAAUUAAUUUGUGAGAGAGCUCUACUUAAUUGGACUAAAUAAAAUUAAGUAUUUAAAUAAGUACUCAGAAAUAUAAAAGAAACUAACCCAAAUGAAUUUUGGGACCAUUUAAUCUAGGAUUAAUUUUAAUGAAUGAAAACAAGUUUGUUGGUUUAAUUAAUACAGACAUGUCUUUAGAGUCAUCAACAUUAAGUGUAAUACUUUCAUGUAGGUUUACAAGAAAUCAAAUAAGGUCUUAUUAUUCCUGUUACAAAAUUUGUCAGCAAAAAAUAACUUGAUAUGAUGAAACUUUUAGGUAAAUAAAAUAGAGAUAAAUGAGAAGAGAUUUUAGGAAACCUCUUUAGGAAUAAUUAUGUUUGAGGAAUGUCUAUUCAAAAUAGUCUCUGCAGAUUUUGUUAACUUGAAACUAUAUAGUUUUGCUAAGUUAAAGUAAAUAAUGGGAAUUCAUUGACUAUCCAGAUCAUUUCCAAAUAAGAUACUAGAACAUUAGUUACUGAAUGUAGGCUUCCUUUUACAGAGAAACUAAAGAUAUUUAGGACUAUUAAUAAAUAUGUUUGAUGCCACACUAAGACAUUUUCUGUUAAAAAAAAAAAAGCACAUGUUUUCUAGAAACCAUACGUAGUAUUUAAAAAGUUUGCUUAUCUAUAGAAUGCUAAUAUAAAAAACAGUUCAUAAUUACUUCCUUUUUAGUUUUUACUAGAAACUAAGGUUUUACAGUUAAAAAUUCUAAUUAAAAUAUGUAAUUAAAACUACUAAAAUUUAAGAAAGAAAACAUCUUUGUAUGCAAGAAAAAAGAAGGUAUGAAGAAUGGAAAUGCAGUUUGUUAAGGGAAAAUCAAGGAAUUUUGUCCUAGAACUGGUUGUUUCUGGAUGGAAAAGAAAAUAAGGGACAAAAUUAUACGGAUACAGAAAGGUAUGGAAGAUUUAUGGAAAAGGCAACACUGGGAAAACAAUUUUGUGCAUGGCCAGGUUAGCACUGGAUUGAAUUAAGUAAAUAAAUUUUGUUAUUAAGAGCAACUGAUGUAAGACUGUUAUUUUCUCUCUAUUAAGAGAAAGUUUUCUUAGAAUAUUGAGCUGCUUUUGAUAGCAGAUCAUGAGUUUCUUUGCCUUUUAUCUAUCGCAAACUUUGAAAUCUUUUGUCAUUUAGUUAAGUGCGUAAGUAUUGUUCCACAGCGACUUAUGACCCUAUUUGACCAGGUGUUUUAAAAUUUUGAUAUUUUGCACAAAAGUUCUUUUGACCUCUAGCUAACAUUGGGAUGCUUCAGAGGCAGCCCCUGAAGCAUCUCAGAGAGAAGAAUAUUAAACUAAUUAGGCUUUAUUUAGUAUGUUAAAUUAUAAGGGAAGCAUUGUAAAAUGAGUGGUGAUAAACCUUCUUAGGCUAUAUUGUAUGAGUAAAUGUCAUUAAUAUAAAUGUUUUGGAAAUUAUAUGGAAUUUCUAAAAGUUGAAAAUGUCCUGGUAAAAUGUUAUCAGUCAGAAUUCUAGUAAUUAUCUUAAAAUGUAUGCCACAGCAAUAAUGAAGUUUCUUUAUCUGUUGCAUUGUAAUCAGAUCUUUAACUUUGCCUUUUUAAGUCUUCUGUCAUUUACAGACAAUUAUUGUUCUACUCUGAUGCUUUAGAAAAAAAAAAGCUUCAUCUUAAAAAAGAUUCCUAAAAAGGACUUUUUGACAAGUAUAGGUUUCUGAUAACUUUCAGAUGAUACUGCUGAAAUGGGUAAGAAAUUAAAGAAUUCUAAUGGAAAAACUGAUGGCUUCAUAAAACUUAAGAGAAAAUUGAGGUGAAGAAUUAGUCACAUAGGACUGAGCAAACGGAUGAAUAUGGUUAUACUACAUUUUUGUCUGAAAUUCUGCUGGUUUUUAAUCUGUGUUAUCCAGAUAGGGAAAUUUUUCCCCUCAAAUUAAUUAUGACUUACUGCAAUUUGAUAAAUUAUACCUUUGUAAGAAGAAUUAAAA